UCGGGAAUUUUGGGCAAUGGGCGAAAGCCUGACCCAGCAACGCCGCGUGAAGGAUGAAGUAUUUCGGUAUGUAAACUUCGAAAGAAUAGGAAGAAUAAAUGACGGUACUAUUUAUAAGGUCCGGCUAACUACGUGCCAGCAGCCGCGGUAAUACGUAGGGACCAAGCGUUGUUCGGAUUUACUGGGCGUAAAGGGCGCGUAGGCGGCAAUUCAAGUCAUCUGUGAAAUCUCCGGGCUUAACUCGGAACGGUCAGAUGAUACUGCUUUGCUAGAGUGCAGAAGGGGCAAUCGGAAUUCUUGGUGUAGCGGUGAAAUGCGUAGAUAUCAAGAGGAACACCUGAGGUGAAGACGGGUUGCUGGGCUGGACACGGACGCUGAGGCGCGAAAGCCAGGGGAGCAAACGGGAUUAGAUACCCCAGUAGUCCCUGAGCGGGCUGGCAAGGCGCAU
rnacentral:rRNA from 1 species